AACGAACGCUGGCGGCAUGCCUAACACAUGCAAGUCGAACGAGACCUUCGGGUCUAGUGGCGCAAGGGUGCGUAACGCGUGGGAACCUGCCCUUAGGUUCGGAAUAACUCCCCGAAAGGGGUGCUAAUACCGGAUAAUGUCUUCGGACCAAAGAUUUAUCGCCUUUGGAUGGGCCCGCGUUGGAUUAGCUAGUUGGUAGGGUAAAAGCCUACCAAGGCGACGAUCCAUAGCUGGUCUGAGAGGAGGAUCAGCCACACUGGGACUGAGACACGGCCCAGACUCCUACGGAGGGCAGCAGUGGGGAAUAUUGGACAUGGGGCGAAGGCCUGAGCCAGCAAGGCCGGGUGAGUGAUAAAGGCCUUAGGGUUGUAAAGCUCUUUUACCCGGGAUGAUAAUGACAGUACCGGGAGAAUAAGCUCCGGCUAACUCCGUG
rnacentral:rRNA from 1 species